GGAGAGGUGGCUGAGCGGUUUAAGGCAAUAACCUGCAAAGGUUGUUAUGCGGUCUGAAAAACGCAUCGGAGGUUCGAAUCCUUCCCCUCUCCGCCA
rnacentral:tRNA from 1 species